rnacentral:rRNA from 1 species
GACGAACCGUGCGAACGUUAUUCGGCAUCACAGGGCUUAAAGGGCGCGUAGGCGGGUCUUCAAGUCAGGGGUGAAAGCCCCCAGCUCAACUGGGGAAGUGCCUUUGAUACUGGGGAUCUCGAGGGAGGUAGGGGCGUGCGGAACUUCCGGUGGAGCGGUGAAAUGCGUAGAUAUUCGGUGGAACACCAGUGGCGAAGGCGCCUCGCUGGACUAUUACUGACGCUGAGGUGCGAAAGCGUGGGGAGCAAACAGG